CCUACGGGAGGCAGCAGUGAGGAAUAUUGGUCAAUGGACGAGAGUCUGAACCAGCCAAGUAGCGUGAAGGAUGACUGCCCUAUGGGUUGUAAACUUCUUUUAUAUGGGAAUAAAAUGUUCCACGUGUGGGAUUUUGUAUGUACCAUAUGAAUAAGGAUCGGCUAACUCCGUGCCAGCAGCCGCGGUAAUACGGAGGAUCCGAGCGUUAUCCGGAUUUAUUGGGUUUAAAGGGAGCGUAGGUGGAUUGUUAAGUCAGUUGUGAAAGUUUGCGGCUCAACCGUAAAAUUGCAGUUGAUACUGGCAGUCUUGAGUACAGUAGAGGUAGGCGGAAUUCGUGGUGUAGCGGUGAAAUGCUUAGAUAUCACGAAGAACUCCGAUUGCGAAGGCAGUUCACUGAACUGCAACUGACACUGAGGCUCGAAAGUGUGGGUAUCAAACAGGAUUAGAUACCCGAGUAGUC
rnacentral:rRNA from 1 species